UCUGAUGGGUGCGUUAUUUC
rnacentral:siRNA from 1 species